UUUAACCUUCCGUAACUCGCGCGGUUGACUACCUGCGUCAGCACCACGCUAAUGCUGAGUACAAAAUGCGAGAUUUUUUCAACGUGUUGUACAAAAUACAACAGCGCGAUCGCUCGUGGGUUAAAAACAAAAGGCUACGCCACUUUUUCAAUUCUUUCUAAGCAUGGCUGCCGUUCCAAGCAAACAAAACUCAUGCAGCCGCCAUCAAUUGUUAUUACCUUUAAUCCAAACCCCCUCAAAACAAUGAUGGAACCAAGUCACCUUGCAUGAACGCUGCAGCCUUUAUUGAAGAUUGUUUUUACUAGUUAUGAUCUUAAGGCAGAUUUGUUCGUCUUAAAUGAAACUUAUUCGUUUUAUACAAGAGUAACAGCCUUUGACAAUUGUUUGUUUACGUUUUCGAUGCUAGAAAGUUGUCUCUGUACAUUUCGCGGUGUUUCGCGUCAAGAUCUGCCAAUUCCAUUUUGUUUCCCUGUAUUUUUGCUAUUAAUAAUGAAGUGCAAAUUACUACAAUUACACUAUUUGGCAUGAGCUUGAGCAGAGUCACAGUAAGUACCCAUUUCAUUUUCGAUUCGCAUAGCUAUGGCCUGUGUGAGAAACUGGUUGAAGGCAGGUCGACAGCUACCAGCUACUCGCAUUUUUGAUUGGCCGUAAAAUCAUUAUUUCGUUGAUAUGAUUACUUUUUAGCACAAGAAUGGCUAAAUUAUCAGUGAGCAAACAUGUUUAUGUGUUUAUAUUUGCAUGAGAACGCGGUUUUUCAACCAAUUUGUUACAUUCAUUAUUUGGAUUGAAAAAUAGUUCGUUGUCUUAUCAUUAUUUCGCAUAGUUCUUGUUCCAGAGUAAUGGCUCUAGCUCAAGAAUAGAAGGCUUCAAGAAGUUUUUAAAGGAGGAUUAGCCAAAUGAAAUGCACUUGAAUAAACGAAGCAUAAACUUUUAAUAAAAUAUGUUGAUGUUAUGUGUUGAAAAUAACUCCAAAUAGGGUUUGUGUUCCAUCAGUAAUCUCACGCUCCCAAUUUCAUCCUAUUCGAAAACAAGCGAUUACGGCACCGAUUGAUUCCGUUCUUUUUGUUUUCAUGCGUGCUCACUUCUAACAAAAAAUACAAAAAUAAGAAACAAAACAAACAGUGCUUCAUUCCUUUGUUUUUCAUAGGAUGAAAAUGGGAGCCACAUGCUUAAUAAGGGAACCAAUA